GUCAACACUGAUGUGCGCCCUCUCUCCCUCCAUCUGCACAGGCCCCAGGGAGUGGCUCAAACCUGUAGACCAGAGAAGGAAGCAUCUAGAACUCCUGGGGGCCUUGUCCGCCACCCACAUCCUCUCACGGGGGGCAGCUCCCAUGAGGGGUGCAGGCCCCUCACCCCACACAGAGUCUCGGCAGGAACCGGAACCCUUCCUGGUUGCCCCGGAGUGGAGGCCCGGGAGGGGUGGGCGGUGGGUCUGCACCAGAUGCUGCAGUUUGCUGAUGACUGGAAGGAUCACCAGCACAUAUGCGGCCAGUCAGCAGCUGUCACCGUCCAGGCAGACGAAGUCCACGUGGCUGAAAGCGUGAUGGAGAAGGUGACCGUGUGAGGCUCCAUCGGCCGCCCUGGGAGCUGGGGCCCCUCACACUCCUGUGAGGCUUUUGCAGGUCGAAGGCCCCCCUGAGGACUCUGGGGGGACGUUGAGAAGAGGGGUGUGGGAAGGUAAAGAAACUUGCUGGACAAGUUAUUAACACACUUUAAGCGAAUGGUGCCCUGGGGAGCGGACUCCCCCCGCCCGGGCCCCCUGCCCGCUCACGGACAGAUUUUUUAUCCCUGGGAUCAUGAGCGUCCGGUCUUGCCCACAGGGCCUGUGCUGCGACGCACAUACAUACGUGUUGUGUCUGUCAAUAAAGUGUAAAUAAGGU
rnacentral:sRNA from 1 species